rnacentral:lncRNA from 1 species
AGUCUGUCUUCCUGUCCAUCCUGUGGAGGGACCCUGAGACUUCAUCACACACCACGCAGGAGAGGGGCAGUGAGUCUGUGUUCUUUGGUCAUGUUCCUGCAGAGAUGCAGCCUAGCUCAGUGUCCAAGCAGCACAAAGCUGGAAAUCUAACAAGAGUCUCAGAAUUCUUCCUCCUGGGCCUCUCAGAUGAUUCAGAACUGCAGCCUUUGCUCUGCAUCCUAUUCCUGUCCAUGUACCUGGUCACCAUGCUGGGGAAUCUGCUCAUCAUCCUGGCUGUCACCUCUGACUCCCGCCUCCACACACCCAUGUACUUCUUCCUCUCCAACCUGUCCUUGGCAGACACUGGUUUCAUCUCCAGCACUGUCCCCAAUAUGAUUGUGAAUAUCCAAACUCACAGAAGAGUCAUUUCCUAUGUGGGCUGCCUGACACAGAUGUCUACUUUUACCCUUUUUGGUUGUUUGGAUGAUACACUUCUGCUUGUGAUGGCCUAUGACAGGUUUGUGGCCAUCUGUCAGCCAUUGCACUACACUGUCAUCAUGAACCCAUGCCUGUGUUGCUCUUUAGUUUUGGUGUCCUCUUUUGUUAGUCUUUUGGAGUCCCAGGUGCACAGUUGGAUUGUGUUACAAGUCACCUGCUUCAAGGAUGUGGAAAUUUCUAAUUUCUUCUGUGACCCUUCUCUACUCCUCAAGCUUGCCUGUUCUGACACUUUCACCAGUAACAUAGUCAUGUAUUUUGCUGGUACCAUCUUUGGGUUUCUCCCUGUCUCAGGUAUCUUUUUCUCUUACUAUAAAAUUUUUUCCUCCAUUCUGAGAGUCCCCUCAUUAGGUGGGAGGUAUAAAGCCUUCUCCACCUGUGGCUCUCACCUGACAGUUGUUUGCUUAUUUUAUGGAACAGGCCUUGGUGUGUACCUCAGCUCAGCCAUCUCACAAUCUCCCCGGAAGGAUGCAGUGGCCUCGGUGGUAUACACUGUGGUCACCCCCAUGCUGAAUCCCUUCAUCUACAGUCUCAGGAAUAGAGACAUCAAAAGGGCCAUGUUCAGGUUCCUCAGCAAAACAAUGUAAUCUCAGUACCUGUGUCAUUCAUUUAGAAUGUAGGUUAGAAAAUGCAACAAAACUAUGCAUGUGGGCCUCAUUCUACCCCUCUCAUCACCUCGCUUUUGUAGUUCUUCUGGCCUUCAACACUUCUCCUUGCUUAACACCUGAGUGUUGCUGAGUUUGAUGUCUUUAAUGAGACUGUGGGAAUAUUCUGGGAUCUUUUGUAUAGCUUAAUAAAUGCAGGAUUGAAUAUUAUUUUACUGUAGUG